AUUCAAUGAUGAAAUAUCUCAUUCCAGUUCUGCUACUGAUCAUGUUGACGAUACCCAUUUACCAAACUUCUCUGAGAA
rfam:Asian citrus Psyllid, Diaphorina citri - Florida Strain, whole genome shotgun sequence.